CCUACGGGAGGCAGCAGUGAGGAAUAUUGGUCAAUGGGCUUACGCCUGAACCAGCCAAGUCGCGUGAGGGAAGACUGCCCUAUGGGUUGUAAACCUCUUUUGUCAGGGAGCAAUUGGCGCUACGUGUAGCGUUAUCGAGAGUACCCGAAGAAAAAGCAUCGGCUAACUCCGUGCCAGCAGCCGCGGUAAUACGGAGGAUGCGAGCGUUAUCCGGAUUUAUUGGGUUUAAAGGGUGCGCAGGCGGAGGUGCAAGUCAGCGGUCAAAUUGCGGGGCUCAACCCCGUACUGCCGUUGAAACUGCAUCCCUUGAGUGCGCGAGAAGUAUGCGGAAUGCGUGGUGUAGCGGUGAAAUGCAUAGAUAUCACGCAGAACUCCGAUUGCGAAGGCAGCAUACCGGCGCGCAACUGACGCUCAUGCACGAAAGCGUGGGUAUCGAACAGGAUUAGAUACCCGGGUAGUC
rnacentral:rRNA from 1 species